rfam:Bacillus sp. MTM 13 9, whole genome shotgun sequence.
AGAGUCCUGAUGUGUACGUUCUUUAACCUAUAAGUUUUGACCGAACACUUAUAGUUACGGGAGCCCCUAGUUUCCAGGCUGCGUAAAAGCCUUCCCUCGAGGAGGACUUACAGAAGCCCAGAACCGAGCACCCACCUGCGGAGAGCGGGUUCAAAACGAAGGCGUAAACGGCACAAUCGGGACUCUU